rnacentral:rRNA from 1 species
GACGAACGCUGGCGGCGUGCUUAACACAUGCAAGUCGAACGGAAAGGCCCUGCUUUUGUGGGGUGCUCGAGUGGCGAACGGGUGAGUAACACGUGAGUAACCUGUCCUUGACUUUGGGAUAACUUCAGGAAACUGGGGCUAAUACCGGAUAGGAGCUCCUGCUGCAUGGUGGGGGUUGGAAAGUUUCGGCGGUUGGGGAUGGACUCGCGGCUUAUCAGCUUGUUGGUGGGGUAGUGGCUUACCAAGGCUUUGACGGGUAGCCGGCCUGAGAGGGUGACCGGCCACAUUGGUACUGAGAUACGGCCCAGACUCCUACGGGAGGCAGCAGUGGGGAAUAUUGCACAAUGGGCGGAAGCCUGAUGCAGCAACGCCGCGUGCGGGAUGACGGCCUUCGGGUUGUAAACCGCUUUCGCCUGUGACGAAGCGUGAGUGACGGUAAUGGGUAAAGAAGCACCGGCUAACUACGUG